CUUAAAGUUUUUCUUCUGUUUCUUUUCCUUUCCUUCUUUUUUUGAGACAGAGUUUCACUCUUUCACCCAGGCCGGAGUGAAGUGGUGUGAUCUCAGCUCACUGCAACCUUCCACCCCCUGGGUUCAAGCGAUUCCCCUGCUUUAGCCUCCCGAGUAGCUGGGAUUACAGGCGUGAGCCAUUGCACCCAACCUCAUUCUUUUUUGGUCAGCCUCUUCUAGCUCUUAACUCAUAGUUCCUGGGAAUUCCUUCAUCAGCAUCCUAAGUUCUCCUUUCCUGACUACAAAGGGAAAUAGUAAAGAGCUUUUUCUAGGUUGUCACUGGAAUAUUCUAGGCCCCUCUUUUUUUUUUUUAUUUGAGAUAGAGUUUCGCUCGUUACCUAGGCUGGAGUGCAAUGGUGCAAUCUCGGCUCACUGCAGCCUCUGCCUCCUGGGUCCAAGCGAUUCUCCUGCCUCAGCCUCCCAAGUAGCUGGGAUUAUAGGCACCCGCCGCCACGCCCAACAAAUUUUUUGUAUUUUUAGUAGAGACAAGAUUUCACUAUGUUCGCUAGGCUGGUCUUGAACUCCUGACCUCAGGCGGAUUCACCCGCCUCAGCUUCCCAAAGUGCUGGGACUACAGGCAUGAACCACUGUGCCCAUCUAGGCCUUUUUUUUUUUUUUUUUUUUUGAGACGGAAUUUCACUCUUGUUGCCCAGGCUGGAGUGCAAUGGCAUGAUCUCGGCUCACCACAACCUCCUCCUCCCAAGUUCAAGUGAUUAUCCUGCUUCAGCCUCCCAAUUAGCUGGGAUUACAGGGAUGCACCACCACACCCGCUAAUUUUUUUUGUAUUUUUAGUAGAGACGGGGUUUCUCCAUGUCGGUCAGGCUGGUCUUGAACUCCCAACCUCAGGCAAUCCACCCGCCUCGGCCUCCCAAAGUGCUGGGAUUACAGGCAUGAGCCAUGGCGUCCGGCUAGGCACUUUUUAAUCACUAUUUUAUUGACAUCCUCCCUGCCCCGCUUCCAAUGCACAACACUGCAUUGAGCCCCCUGAGGUGAAGGACAUGUAUUCUAUUUCUCUGUUACUUCCCCCUACCAAUAGAAAAUAUGCACAGUCAGUACUAAGUAAUUCCUGGUUGAUUGACUUGAAACUUAAUAGGGGAAACAGGACAGUAAAUACAACAUGAGAGCGCACAAACACUGUAAACAUCCUGAGGGUUUGGGGAACUACUGUGGUGGAUAAACACAAGAGUAAUUAGCCAAAGAAUGUUCAGUUAAGAAAUAAUUUGAAAAAUAGGUAAGACAUAGUUUGACAGAAACAUUCCCAAAGUGAGAAAUGACAGCCAGGAGCAGGAACAGAGCUGGUGGGUGGAGAGGACAAAAAGCUUGUGUACCUAGGUGGGUAUGCAAAAGGCCAAGCCCGUCACCAAGGAUAUUAGGUGAAGAGAGCAGUAGCUGAAAUGUCUUGAGAACAAUGAUUAUGAGCUUAACUGAGACAAUGGCAACAACUGUGUGUUUCUACAAAUGGGAAUAAACGUAAGACUGUG
rnacentral:lncRNA from 1 species